GAAACCUCAGUCUCUACGAUUGCGACGACUGACGGUCAAAAGAUCAGGUGGCCUCGCGAAUCACUUCCUCAAAUUCCCGGAAGCGGCAUCCGCUGUCGGCACUCAGUCUCUCUCUAUUAAUUAGCUACGCAGACAAAAUGCCGAAACAAUCGUCAUGUCUUACCGAUCAUGAAAUAUGGGCUUUGUCAAGGAAUGUGGAAGUCUAGGUGGCGUAGUUUCAGCGAGCUGUCGGCGUUUCCACUGGGGCUGCUUCCUGAAGGCGGGGUGUCCCACGUGCCGCACUGCAUCCCCGUCACCAGCUCAUUCCUGGGUCGGCUUCAGCAGGGAAAUGAAAGUGACCCCCGCAGCAGAAAUCACCUCAAUCCUCCUUUCAAGCCCAGGGACAGUGAAGCAGGAGAGAAGCCCCUCGGAAAGAAGCGGCAAAGGGUUCGAGCUGGAGGAGGAUUGGUAAACAGACCUGCUGGCUCCGGUCCCUGCAUAACGAAGGUGAUUAGUCAUGAAUAGGGGGAACCCCAAAGUUAGGGUGUGACCUCGAUGGGGGACACCGCCACGUUGCUGUCACAGCGAGCUUCAGGGAAGGCCUGCAGGGAGGUAUUUCGAUAUCCUGUAGCCUGCCGGAAACACAGCAGAGGAGAGACCUCCUCUUUUAACACCUUUGGAGGACGGAGACAUCAAUCCUUCCUGGUCAAAAAUACCCCCUUCAUAAUGUGGGAUUGAGUCCUACAUUACAGGAGCAUCCGGCUUGGGGAAGAUGGCGUGUAGGAAGGAUCGCCAAGAGAAAUGCCAAAUAAAAUUGGAAUGCGCUAUUUUGAUAACCCGCUGGUAUUCACAUUGUCCUCUUUAAGCCUGAUGGAUGUUCCCCUAUCUCCAUCAGCCGGAUGUUUCCAGAACCAUCUUGUUUGUGCACGAUAGGCAUAUUAUGCACAUGAAUCAUAUCUAUUUUCAGGUAGCAUAACAAAUCUAAUAAUGGCGUGUCUGUAUCUUUUUAUUGCACUGAGACAAAUUUAUUGUUGGUAAGUGUUGGAACAUUGGGCCAAUUGGGCUAUUAUUGCAUUACUCUGCUGCAAAGUGUUACUUCCUGU